GUGGGUAUAGCUCUGGUAGAGUGCCUGCUUAGCAUGUAUGAGAUCCUGGGUUCAGUUCCCAGUACCUCCA
rnacentral:tRNA from 1 species